rnacentral:rRNA from 1 species
GACGAACGCUGGCGGCGUGCUUAACACAUGCAAGUCGAACGGCAAGGCACUGCUUUUGUGGGGUGCUCGAGUGGCGAACGGGUGAGUAACACGUGAGUAACCUGCCCUUGACUUUGGGAUAACUUCAGGAAACUGGGGCUAAUACCGGAUAGGAGCUCCUGCUGCAUGGUGGGGGUUGGAAAGUUUCGGCGGUUGGGGAUGGACUCGCGGCUUAUCAGCUUGUUGGUGGGGUAGGGGCUUACCAAGGCUUUGACGGGUAGCCGGCCUGAGAGGGUGACCGGCCACAUUGGGACUGAGAUACGGCCCAGACUCCUACGGGAGGCAGCAGUGGGGAAUAUUGCACAAUGGGCGGAAGCCUGAUGCAGCAACGCCGCGUGCGGGAUGACGGCCUUCGGGUUGUAAACCGCUUUCGCCUGUGACGAAGCGUGAGUGACGGUAAUGGGUAAAGAAGCACCGGCUAACUACGUG